CCUACGGGUGGCAGCAGUGGGGGAUAUUGCACAAUGGGGGGAACCCUGAUGCAGCGACGCCGCGUGAGCGAAGAAGUACCUCGGUAUGUAAAGCUCUAUCAGCAGGGAAGAAAAUGACGGUACCUGACUAAGAAGCCCCGGCAAAAUACGUGCCAGCAGCCGCGGGAAUACGUAUGGGGCAAGCGUUAUCCGGAUUUACUGGGGGUAAAGGGAGCGCAGGCGGCCUGCCAAGUCUGGGGUGAAGACUCGGGGCCCAACCCCGGGCCUGCAGUGGAAACUGGCGGGCUGGGGUGUCGGAGGGGCAGGGGGAAUUGCUGGUGUGGCGGUGAAAGGCGU
rnacentral:rRNA from 1 species